CGAUAUCGAGAGUUUGAUCAUGGCUCAGAGUGAACGCUGGCGGUGCGCCUAACACAUGCAAGUCGAGUGGGUUCAGACCCACGGCGAACGGCUGCGUAACACGUUGGUACCUACCCCAGACUCAGGGAUAUCCCGCCCGAAAGGUGGAGUAAUACCGGAUGCCCUCGCAAGAGGAAAGAUUUAUCGGUCUGGGAAGGGCCUGCGGCCUAUCAGGUAGUUGGUAAGGUAACGGCUUACCAAGCCUAUGACGGGUAGCUGAUUUGAGAGAAUGAUCAGCCAGAAUGGAACUGAGACACGGUCCAUACUCCUACGGGAGGCAGCAGUGAGGAAUCUUCCGCAAUGGGCGAAAGCCUGACGGAGCGACACCGCGUGAAGGAUGAAGUCCUUUUUUGGAUGUAAACUUCUGUUCUGAGGGAAGAAAUUUUUGACGGUACCUCAGGAGAAAGCAUCGGCUAACCCUGUG
rnacentral:rRNA from 1 species